CUGGGCUAUGCUGAGCAGACACAUGAAGUCACCUGGGCAGGAGCCGGCGUGGCUCUCUCAAGGCACUGUUUACCACUGGGGUUGCUUUGAGCCUGCCAAACUGAGUUCUGCUCUGGACUUACAUUUGGGUCCCUGAAAGCAGAAAGAACUGUACAGCACACGGUGACUUCACCAAGGGGCUUCUGUGUCCCUGUCUUUGGAAGUGUCAACUGUUUUAUUUAUGGGGAAAGAACAGAGAAUGGAGUUGGAGUAGAACUUCCUGAGCUGAAUCUACAAGUUUAAUCCUAGGACUCUGGAGGAUGAGGCAGGAUUGUCUUGAGUUCCAGGCCACGAGAAGCCCACAGUCUGCUGGUGCCAUGGUGACGAAACCGGAGCCGGGGUGCAUAAAGAAUGUCCUAGAAAGUGAAAGCUGGGCGUGAUGGUGCAGCACUCCAAUGCCACUGCCGCAGUUCGAGGCCAGUCUAUGCUACACAGUGAGGCCUUAAGGUGCCCCCUCUCCCAAAUUCAGAUAAAAUGUUUCAAUGACUCCCAGCUCUGGAAUAAAGACCACAAUGAAGACCACA